rnacentral:rRNA from 1 species
AUUGAACGCUGGCGGCAGGCCUAACACAUGCAAGUCGAGCGGUAGAGAGGUGCUUGCAUCUCUUGAGAGCGGCGGACGGGUGAGUAAUGCCUAGGAAUCUGCCUGGUGGUGGGGGAUAACGUUCGGAAACGGACGCUAAUACCGCAUACGUCCUACGGGAGAAAGCGGGGGGAUCUUCGGACCUCGCGCCAUUAGAUGAGCCUAGGUCGGAUUAGCUAGUUGGUGAGGUAAUGGCUCACCAAGGCGACGAUCCGUAACUGGUCUGAGAGGAUGAUCAGUCACACUGGAACUGAGACACGGUCCAGACUCCUACGGGAGGCAGCAGUGGGGAAUAUUGGACAAUGGGCGCAAGCCUGAUCCAGCCAUGCCGCGUGUGUGAAGAAGG